rnacentral:SRP_RNA from 2 species
AACCAAGCAGGAGCAUUACACAAUUAACCAGGCCAGGUCAGGAAUGAAGCAGCCUUAUAUUUGCGUGGUGUUGUCUGUUUGUCAUUG